rnacentral:lncRNA from 1 species
GCCCCCCAGCCCCUUGCCCUGGCUGGCCCCCAGCCAACGAUAUUUGGUUUCCAUUUUUUAACAUUAAAGUUCUAUGAGGUAUUUGGUGCCUUAUCUCGAGUCCUCGGGGGAGGGGGCCCGGGGGGAGACCUGGGGCACACUUGCCCCUCCCUCCCUCCCACCCCCUUCCCAAUAUUUGGUUUCACAGCUGUAGUUAAAGCUUGGGAUUUGGUUAUUUUUCCCCCUCCCAGGGAUUUUCUUUUUUUGUUUUUCUUUUCCCAGUUAUGGGGGUUGGAUGGGGAGGGCAUCGGCCCCAUCCCUGCCCCCUGCUUCCUCCACUCCUCUCUGCCCCACUCCUCCCACACUAGGCUGGAGGACAGGUCCCAGGUGGCAGGAUUUGAUGGGGAGGAAGCAGGAUGAAGUGGGUGGUGGUGAGUCCUGGAUUUUCUUUUUUUUUUUUUUUCCUUUUUUUCUUUUUUUUUUUUUCCUUUUUUUUUUCUCCUUUUUUUGGUCUAGAAUCAGUUUUUGUUUGAGUCAUCUCCACCAUGCCUUCCAUGCUGCCUGUCUUCUCGGAGGGGUUUUUGGUUGUAAUUCCUUUCACUUGGCUCUGCUCAAAUGUCCUUCCUAUCUGUUCAGGAGCCCCUGGCCCCCUGUCCACCCUUGGGCUGGGGCCCGGGCCCUCUUGCCAGUCCCUUCUCUUCAGGAAAUAAAAAUGGACAAACUCAGAGGUAGGGUAAGGGCAGGGAGUCGGUUCAACGGAGAUGCUUACAUUCUGGCGAGGAUGGGUGGAUGGCAGGCCAGGCCCCAUCGGUGCCAGGGUGGGAGGGGCAGCCACUCCACCACUGCCCAGACAAGGCACCCCAAGACCUCCGAAACAGCCGAGGCUCUGCUGCCUCCGUGGCCCAGCCCAACAGUUUCAUUCCCGGGUGGGAGAAGGGAGACAAGAAAGAAAGAGAACGCUGAGGCCUCAGGGCUCAGGGUGGCGUCCGAGGCUCUGUCUGCCUCUCCUCGGAGUGUCCAGCAGCGCUGCCCGGCUCCCGGGCUCUCCCCUCCCUCUGCUCCUGCCCGCCGAGGGCCGAGGGCUGCUCUGAUUUCAAUGGCUCGAGUCCUUCACAACAACACUUUGGUUUGAGGAGAGACACAGAAAGAAGGAGAUUGAGAGGUGAGAGAGGAAGAGGGAGAGACAGAGAAGAGGAGGAGACAGGACAGACGGAAGAGAACAGAAAAAGAACUCAGAGGAGGAAUCAAACCACCCGAAAGUUUGUUAGUUUUCCUUCGUCCAUUCUUUUUUGCUUUCUUAUUCCUUUUUUUCCUGUUUUUUUUUUUUUUUAAAGCUUUUUCAGUUGAUUGGGGGGGCGGGGAGCUUGGGGGGCUCUUCACCCUGUCCCUGACACCCUCUCUCAGCCCUGCCCACCCGCUUCCAUCCACCCUGGCUGAGGGGCAGGCCCAGCCCCAGCCGCCCCCCUGCGGCUUUCCCGAAGACGACGUCCAUGAGGUAUUUGUGAAGAGAAAGAAGCAUCCAUCCUUCCAUCCGCCUUGGGAACCAAGGGCCUGGACCGCUGGUGCAGGGGCUUGGCUCCACCUCGCGGCUCCUUCUUCUUCUUUGAAGAGUCCUCGUCUUCUUUCCCUUAAAUAUAUAUAUAUCUAUAAAUUCUUUCUUUUUCUAGUUUUAAUUUAUUGUUUGUUUGGUUUUUUGUUUCUGUUUUUGUUUUUUCGUUUUUUGUGGGUUUUUUUUGGUUCAAAACUUUGUUGGCCUCCACAAUAGCAGGAGGGCAAGGUGGCUCCCAGCAGUGUCUCUCCUCUGUCGAUGAAGAUGCGUCCAGGGCUGGGCAAACACAGGGUCCAGCCAAGACUCGAGGGAGGUCUCGUGGGAGUGGUGGCCACCACAGCGCCCUCUUGGAUGGGGACCACAGGUC